CCUCGUUAGCGCGAGACGUCGGACAACAAAAACGGUACCACUGACGACGGAACUGUUCGUCGUAUUUCGGUCAUAAGGUCACCGCGACGGUACGACCCCAAAGUUUGUUAUGCGCGCGUCAUAGACGCCGAGUAUGGUAUGUCUCAAAGUAUAUCGUCUCGGCUCUUAUCGUAAUGACCUGCCCAAUGCAAUAAAACACUUAGCCAAUCGAACGACGAAGACAACAGCAGCGAACGCAGCAGCUCGACGACCAAUACAACCAAACUGCGCAUAAGCAGGUGACAACGCUGUAUUGACGCUUAUUAUCCAGUGUUGUCAAGUCCCGUUCAAUUUCAUAAAAAUCAAUUCGUUUAAAAAUAAUGCCUAACAUGGAACAAACAUACUCAUGUCAAAGCUUUCGACUGAUAUAUGGGGUGGUUCACGGCUGACGGUACCUUGGACGUUUACGGCGCCGAUGCUCUAACCUAAUAUUUUAGCGACGUUGCCGCUUCUUCGAACAAGUAGCAUCUACAUUGAAAUUUUAAAUGUGUACAAAUGUAAGUGAAAGUAUAUUAUUGCAUUUUCUGAUCUGCUAAUACUUCUUCAGAGAUUAACUGGAACUGGCUCCCAUUUUACUCUGUACGUGCUCAUAUGUAUAUUGUGAGAAGAAGGCAACAGAAUAAUUGGCAAAACUUCAGCAAGUUUGAUUCAUAAACAACCGAAGAAUCCACAUUAUUAUUAUUAUAAAUACCAAAUUAUCAAAAGUGUUACUUCAAACGAAGAGAGUGCAAUAAACGUUUUCAUUAGGUUAGAUCAUUACU